rnacentral:RNase_P_RNA from 1 species
GAAGCAGGCUAUCUUAUCGCUUUUUUUUUCGGAGAAAAGAGGAAAGUCCGGACACCAUAGAGCAGCAUAGCGGGUAACGCCCGUCCUUCGUUUUUACGGAGUGGACAAGUGCAACAGAAAGCAAGUACAGUUAGGCUGUAGUGAAAUCAGGUAAACUCUAUGCGGUGCAACGCCAAGUAGUUCUAUAGUAAAGGGUAGCUCGCCCGGUGUAGACGGGUAGGCGGCUAGAAUGCAAAAGUAAUUUUGCAUCCAGAUAAAUGAUAAGACACGACAGAAUCCGGCUUAUCGGCCUGCUUUUUUU